rnacentral:misc_RNA from 1 species
AAAUGGUGCAAUAGCUCUUCCAAAUUCAUAAACAAGGUAAUAACAAUUGCACAUAACAAAUCAUGCUAGAUGUGGAAGGAGGAAAAAACAAAAACAAAAUAAACAACAAAGAAAAACAAUCAUUGAUCUAGGGCAAUCUAUGUGGUGACACUGAAGUGCUAAAUGACGUUUCCCAUGAGUGUGUGGCUGUCAUAAUUCUUGAAACAGAUUGCACAAUCUCAUCCGUAUUAGGGCGAUGUGAGGGAUCUUUCAUUAGGCAGUUAUCGAUCAAUCUGACCAUGGCAAAAGCAAGUUCCACAGGGUACUUCCCUUGCAGAGAAGGGUCAACGAAGUUGCUCAAACUCUCCUUUGCAUUAUCAUCAUUAAGCACCGGGAUCAACAACUCAGCCAAGUUUGUGUUUGAACCUUCAUAUAAAGCGGAAACUUCUUUCCCGGUGAGAAUCUCCAGCAACAGAACUCCCAAUGCAUAGACAUCCAGCUUCGGUGAGACUAGCCCAUUCUCCAAAUACUCAGGUGCCAUGUAGCCUUGGGUCCCAACUAUGUGCCUUGUCAAUGCAAACUCACCUUCUUGUCCAUCUGCUGACCUUGCUAGACCAAAGUUAGCAAUCUUGGCUCUUAAAUCACCAUCAAGAAGUAUAUUAUCACCGUUUAAAUCCUUGUGAACAUGAGGUGGGGAUGUG